rnacentral:tRNA from 1 species
AUUUUACAUAAAAGGUAAAGGCGAUUAAAAAAUGUCUUAAAGCUAUAAAACAAGUAUCGCAAGG